rnacentral:tRNA from 1 species
GGGCCAUUAGCUCAGUUGGUUAGAGCAGGGGACUCUUAAUCCCCGUGUCCUGGGUUCGAAUCCCAGAUGGCCCUCCA